CGUGUCCUGUAGUGGGGGAUAGCCCGGCGAAAGCCGGAUUAAUACCGCAUACGAUCUAAGGAUGAAAGCGGGGGAUCUUCGGACCUCGCGCUAUAGGGGCGGCCGAUGGCAGAUUAGCUAGUUGGUGGGGUAAAGGCCUACCAAGGCGACGAUCUGUAGCUGGUCUGAGAGGACGACCAGCCACACUGGGACUGAGACACGGCCCAGACUCCUACGGGAGGCAGCAGUGGGGAAUUUUGGACAAUGGGCGCAAGCCUGAUCC
rnacentral:rRNA from 1 species